GUAGGAGGGAGGGUCUUUAGUUGGCGUUAUUUUGGUUUUAUUUUCAGCUACAGUUAUCUACAAUUAAGCAUUAGUUGGCGUUAUUUAGGUUUUAUUUUCAGCUACAGUUAUCUACAAUUAAGCAUUUACAAGUCAGGAGCGCAUUUGCUUGAGUAGAGCUACUAUUUUAUCUGAAGUAUAGAGAACCUGGUAUUUUCGAUUUUUUGGCCCUUUGAUCAAUUCUUUUGAUCAUUUCUAAUUUUUGGAUUAAUGCUAUUACUCUGUGGGGACCACUCAACUCUAGGAAUAUUACUCAAUCUUAAGGGGGACUGUAAUCAUUCCAACUGUACAAUUUUUGAUCUAAAGAUCAAAAAAUCGAAAAUAUCAAAUUUUCUAUAGUUUUGAUAGCAUAGUAGCUAUACACCAUUUGCUUUAGCAAGAUAUGAAAAACU
rnacentral:lncRNA from 1 species